AUUGAACGCUGGCGGCAGGCCUAACACAUGCAAGUCGAGCGGAUGAAGGGAGCUUGCUCCUGGAUUCAGCGGCGGACGGGUGAGUAAUGCCUAGGAAUCUGCCUGGUAGUGGGGGAUAACGUCCGGAAACGGGCGCUAAUACCGCAUACGUCCUGAGGGAGAAAGUGGGGGAUCUUCGGACCUCACGCUAUCAGAUGAGCCUAGGUCGGAUUAGCUAGUUGGUGGGGUAAAGGCCUACCAAGGCGACGAUCCGGAACUGGUCUGAGAGGAUGAUCAGUCACACUGGAACGGAGACACGGUCCAGACUCCUACGGGAGGCAGCAGUGGGGAAUAUUGGACAAUGGGCGAAAGCCUGAUCCAGCCAUGCCGCGUGUGUGAAGAAGGUCUUCGGAUUGUAAAGCACUUUAAGUUGGGAGGAAGGGCAGUAAGUUAAUACCUUGCUGUUUUGACGUUACCAACAGAAUAAGCACCGGCUAACUUCGUG
rnacentral:rRNA from 1 species